GAUUGGCUCUUUGACUGCCGCUCCUGAAGCGUUACAUAGCAAUAUCAGAUGCAACGUACCUGCAGGCUAGUAUCCGGAAACAAACUGGAAUAAUUGCAUAAAGAAAGAACAAACGCUUAUUUCGCGUUAAAUAAAGAAUCACUCCAGAAAUGGCACAAUGUACAGAGUCGUCCUCGAGCAACGGACAACUGCGAAGGGAAAGAAAAGUCGCUAUCAUCACCGGCAUCACUGGACAGGAUGGAUCGUACUUGGCGGAGUUCCUGUUGGAGAAGGGUUAUGAGGUACACGGCAUUGUGCGGCGAUCCAGCUCCUUCAACACCGGGCGGAUCGAGCACCUCUACAAAAACCCCCAGACGCACACGGAAGGAAGAAGUGAGACACCCAGCCGUGGCUACAUGAAGCUGCACUACGGGGAUCUGACGGACAGCACCUGCCUGGUGAAGAUCAUCAACGAGGUCAAACCCACCGAGAUCUACAACCUGGGGGCCCAGAGCCAUGUGAAGAUCUCCUUCGACCUGGCGGAGUACACGGCGGACGUGGACGGGGUGGGGACGCUGCGCCUGCUCGACGCCGUGAAGACGUGCGGCCUGACCAGCAGCGCGCGCUUCUACCAGGCCUCCACCAGUGAGCUGUACGGCAAGGUGCAGGAGAUCCCACAGACGGAGACCACACCCUUCUACCCCCGAUCGCCCUACGGCGCAGCCAAGCUCUAUGCCUACUGGAUCGUGGUGAACUUUCGGGAGGCCUACAACCUCUUCGCCGUCAACGGCAUCCUCUUCAACCACGAGAGCCCGAGGAGAGGAGCCAAUUUCGUGACUCGGAAAAUUAGCCGAUCGGUGGCGAAGAUUCACCUGGGACAGCUGGACUGCUUCAGUCUGGGGAACCUGGACUCCAAGAGGGACUGGGGUCACGCCAAGGACUACGUGGAGGCCAUGUGGUUGAUGCUGCAGGAGGAGGAGCCAGAGGAUUUCGUCAUAGCGACGGGGGAGGUCCACAGCGUGCGGGAGUUUGUGGAGAAGGCCUUUAAGCACGUGGGGAAGACCAUUGUGUGGGAGGGGAAAGAUGAGAACGAGGUCGGCCGUUGCCUGGAGACCGGGUGUGUUCACGUGAGGGUGGACCACAAGUACUACCGUCCCACAGAAGUGACACACUGCCUGACAGUGUUGCAAGCCUCCAUCCAGGAUCAUGAGGAGCAGAGAUGGAGCCUGGGACUACCUGCAGGGUGACAGCAGCAAGGCGCUGAAGAAGCUGGGCUGGAAGCCGCGUGUGACGUUCGAGGAACUGGUGAAGGAGAUGGUCGAUGCAGACGUUCAACUCAUGAGAAACAAUCCUAACGCCUGAAGGCCUUACAUCGGCGCGGAUAUGAAGGAAUUUCAUCAGACAAGGUUUCACUCCCACGCGCCCGGCAGCAGCAAGACUGUCACUGAACAAAUCAAAGCAUCAUCCUCUCUUUUGUAAUAUUCCGCUUUAUUAAAACGUGUCCUUCGGGGUUUGUGGGCUUGGGUCAUUUGAUGCCUUUUUAUUUUUGUAUCGUUUCCCCAUGUUUAAUAGUUUCUACGUCCUGACAGUAGGUAAAGAUUAGAAACUUUAAAUAUUAUCUGCCUUUUUGUCAUUCCAAUCAUGCGAAGGCCUACUGUUUAUGCCUGGAGAAGAUUAAAUGAUCGUGCUUGUUUUUUUUUGUUUUUUGGUAAUUAAGAAAUCCACGUACCCGUUUUUACUUAUUCAAUUUUCCAAAGUACAAUCGUUUUAUAUUCUACUGUAGUUUGUGAAUUAGGAUGCAAAUUAAAGUAAUUUAAAUUAAAACGGAGGGUUUUGUAAAUUAAAAUUUAGUUGUUUUUUUAUCAUAAGAAUGCGUUUACACUGCGUAGCUUCUUGUUUCCUCUAAUCAUGAAAUAAUCAAGUGUUUUUUUUUUCAGUUGUAAUCACACAAGUGUUUGCAUCUCUGACUGUGAUAUACAGAUAAAGGGAAAAAAAUAAAACUUGUUUUCUACAA